rnacentral:snRNA from 1 species
AUACUUACCUGGCAGGGGAGAUACCAUGAUCACGAAGGUGGUUUUCCCAGGGCGAGGCUUAUUCAUUGCACUCCGGAUGUGCUGACCCUUGUGAUUUCCCCAAAUAAUGGGAAACUUGACCACAUAAUUUGUGGUAGUGGGGGACUGCGUUCGCGCUUUCCCCUG